rnacentral:lncRNA from 1 species
CGCGCGUCAGGCGCGGAGGGCCCCGGCGUCGGGGGCUUGGCUGGGCGGUGCUUCCCGCUAGGCCCAAGCGCGCGCGAGGGCCGGGCUCGAGCACGUCGCCUCAGGGCGGGGCGGGGCGUGCUGACGCACCAACGGUUUUCUGCUCCCCCAGGGCGGCGCCCCGCCCCGCUCCGCUCCGCUCCGCUCCGUUCCGCUCCGUUCCGCUCCUUUCCGCCGGCGUUUCGUGGUGCCGCGGCUGCUCCUCACUGGUGUGUCGUCAGUGGGUGCCAGCACGUCUCGCUUUCUAUGCUUUCUUGGAUAAUUCUUAGAGUCAGUGUAACAGUUUUCCUUGAUAGCAACUGGAUCAUGCAACUACUCCCUACUGAGCAAGUUCACUUCUGCAGCUAGCCUGAAAAGACACCUGACUCCCUAUUGAAAACUGUUGGCCAUGGUAGGUGCAAGACUACUACCUUGAAUUGCACAAUAGGUGCAAGAUCGUCUUAGUUGGAGACUAUUGUUCAGGUGAAGUGCUAUCUGAAGACUGAAGCUUAUUCCGGUCUGGAUUUCAGUG